AUCAUUUUACCCUUUUCUCCGCUCCGAAGAUGAUGCAACCGGCGGGAGGUAUGGUUCAGCCCCCAAUGGGGAUGGAUCAACAGCACCAUCAGCAGCAGCCGCAGCAGUGGGCGGCGGUGAUGGCGCCGCCGCCUCCGCCGCCGCAGCAGCAGUACUAUCAGGCGCCGUCGGCGGCGGGGGCGCCGCCGCCGCCGAUGUGGAACCAGCAGCCGUCCAUGGUGCCGCCACCGGUGGUGCCCCAGCAGAUGGGGCCGCCGCCUCCGCAGCAGCAGUACCAGGCGUCCGCCGCCGCAGCUGUUGCGGCGCCGCUGCAGCCCGGUUCGGCAGAUGAGAU
rnacentral:lncRNA from 1 species